rnacentral:rRNA from 1 species
AACGAACGCUGGCGGCAUGCCUAACACAUGCAAGUCGAACGAGAUCUUCGGGUCUAGUGGCGCACGGGUGCGUAACGCGUGGGAAUCUGCCCUUUGGUUCGGAAUAACAGUUGGAAACGACUGCUAAUACCGGAUGAUGACGAAAGUCCAAAGAUUUAUCGCCAGAGGAUGAGCUCGCGUAGGAUUAGCUAGUUGGUGUGGUAAAGGCGCACCAAGGCGACGAUCCUUAGCUGGUCUGAGAGGAUGAUCAGCCACACUGGGACUGAGACACGGCCCAGACUCCUACGGGGGGCAGCAGUGGGGAAUAUUGGACAAUGGGGGAGAGCCUGAUCCAGUAAUGCCGCGUGAGUGAUGAAGGCCUUAGGGUUGUAAAGCUCUUUUACCCGGGAUGAUAAUGACAUUACCGGGAGAAUAAGCUCCGGCUAACUCCGUGCCAGCCGCCGCAGUAA